AUUGAACGCUGGCGGCAGGCUUAACACAUGCAAGUCGAGCGGGGUGAUGGUGCUUGCACUAUCACUUAGCGGCGGACGGGUGAGUAAUGCUUAGGAAUCUGCCUAUUAGUGAGGGACAACAUCUCGAAAGGGAUGCUAAUACCGCAUACGUCCUACGGGAGAAAGCAGGGGAUCACUUGUGACCUUGCGCUAAGAGAUGAGCCUAAAUCGGAUUAGCUAGUUGGUGGGGUAAAGGCCUACCAAGGCGACGAUCUGUAGCGGGUCUGAGAGGAUGAUCCGCCACACUGGGACUGAGACACGGCCCAGACUCCUACGGGAGGCAGCAGUGGGGAAUAUUUGACAAUGGGGGGAACCCUGAUCCAGCCAUGCCGCGUGUGUGAAGAAGGCCUUAUGGUUGUAAAGCACUUUAAGCGAGGAGGAGGCUCUUUUGGUUAAUACCCAAGAUGAGUGGACGUUACUCGCAGAAUAAGCACCGGCUAACUCUGUGCCAGCAGCCGCCGUAA
rnacentral:rRNA from 1 species